rnacentral:lncRNA from 1 species
UACACACACAUCCCCCUCUUUAUGCACAUGCUUCUAUUAUUAAUACCCCUUGCUUACAAUGCAGCAUACACCCCUUCCCCUUCUUCUUCUUUUUUAGGAAAAAUUAUUUAUAGGUCCCCGAAUGGAUCCGAAAUUACUUUUAAGUCCUUUGACCUUUCAAGUUGAAUAAAAAGUUUUUGAAAUGCUAAGAAGUUAUUUCUAGGUCUCUGCCAUCCACACAGAUUGGUUACACAGGUUUAUAUUCAUGUUACACAGAUUUAUGUUCAGAUUACACAGGUUACUUAGUUUCAAUAUCUGUUUAUGCACGUUUAUGCACAUUCAUACAGGUAUGUACCUUGGUUAGAGGCUUUUUAUUCAACUUAAAAAGUCAAGGGACUUAAAAAUAAUUUCGGAUCCAUCUAGGGACCUAUAAAUAUUUUUUUUUCUUUUUUUCAUGCACAUGCUUCUAUUAUUAAUACCUCUUGCUUAUUGCUUACUAUGUCCAUGGUACACUGCACACACCUGUUUUUAUCCUAUGCUUAAUGAACAUUUUGAAUUAGAAAAAUGGGAAAAAUGUUAUAGAAUGUAUUGUACAUGUAGAAGUACUAAUACCCUUUAUAUAAGGGUAUUUUAAUUAUCAUUAUCUUAUGAUAAUAAUAUUUAGUAGACACUUCAAUAGAAUACACACACACACAUA